UACCUCAAAAUUCCGCAACAGUCUGUUUCAUCAGUAAAGAAUCAUCCCGCCUGAUGAUACUUUACUGAUGAAUACCGCCUGAUGAUUCUUUACUGAUGAAACAGACUGUUGCGGAAUUU